UACGGAGGGUGCAAGCGUUGCUCGGAAUUAUUGGGCGUAAAGGGUAGGUAGGUGGUCUCAUUUGUCUGGGGUGAAAGCCUUGAGCUUAACUCAAGAAGUGCCCCGGAGACGGUGAGACUGGAGUCCUGGAGAGGGUCGUGGAAUUCCCGGUGUAGCGGUGAAAUGCGUAGAGAUCGGGAGGAACACCAGAGGCGAAGGCGGCGACCUGGACAGGUACUGACACUCAACUACGAAAGCGUGGGGAGCAAACAGG
rnacentral:rRNA from 1 species